GGCCCGCUAGCUCAAUUGGCAGAGCAACUGACUCUUAAUCAGUAGGUUAUAGGUUCGAUUCCUAUGCGGGUCA
rnacentral:tRNA from 2 species